rnacentral:rRNA from 1 species
CCCUUAGAUGUUCUGGGCCGCACGCGUGCUACACUGAGUGGAUCAGCGGGUCAGGUUGCGCGAAAGCGUUUCCUAAUCUUUAAAUCCGCUCGUGAUGGGGAUUGACGGUUGCAAUUUUCUGUCAUGAACGAGGAAUACCUUGUAAGCGCGGGUCAUCAUCCCGCGCUGAAUACGUCCCUGCCCUUUGUACACACCGCCCGUCGCUCCUACCGAUUGAGUGGUCCGGUGAGGCUUUGGGAUCUGAGCGGAAAGAGCGUUUCGCUGUUUCUGCUCGGAAAACUCAGUCGAACCUUAUCAUUUAGAGGAAUGAGAAGUCGUAACA